ACUUGAGUCCAACUGGGUGUGGGGUAGGAGUCCCAGGGAGGCUGCAGGGUCUGCAGGGAUGACAGAAUCCAGAAUGGGAGGACAGAGGUCUCUUGAUUGUGAUCUACCUUCUGCCAGACAAUUCCACAGAGAAGGAAGCAGUGGAUAGAGAAAACCUAUCAUCCUAUUUUUGCCCAAUAGCCUACACAUGCGAUGCCUGGGUUUCCAGCCCAUCUCUCUUCUGGAAGGCAAGCAAGGUCGACUUAACCCACGUCUGUGCCCCUGGGGCACCCACUUAGAGACCUGGAGAGGAACCAGCUGUUGAAAUUUCCUGCAAGGAGCCCUGAUCUCCUCCUCCCACCAUUCUUGGAUGUCCCUGCCCCUGCCCUUUUUCUCAGUCCCUCUUCCUCCUGCCUUCUAUUUUGAGUCUGUGGUCACAGUUUAUAUUUGGGAUAAGCACAUCACAGUGCAUCUGACCAUUCCUGGCAAAGCUAUCGACUCCAGAGAGUUCUGGCUCUACACAGUGUGGCCUGGUCCCACUGUGAAGAAGGGUCUAGAGUAAGAGAAGUAUCGUCUGCUCUCUAGCCUUAUACAUGCAUGGAUUUGUGAUACUGGGGAUCGAACCCAGGGCCUUGCACAUACUAGGCAAAGUGCUACCGUCUCCGUCAUCACCUUAUUCCUGGCCACGGAUUUUCAUUAGUAUUGCGGUCCGUAUACUAAAUGCCAGGUGACCUCAGACUGGGCAAGCUUCCUCCAGACCCCUCUGAACAGAGCAGUAGAAGAACACAAAGUAGACUACGCAGAAAACUCUGGAGGUGGGCAGUAUGCUGCAUUCUUCCAGCUGUGGUCUUAAAGAGCUGGGGCUCUGCCUGGCCACUGGCCACUCCCCAGGCCAAGUUUCGCCGACCCCCUCCUGACUGCACUUGGAGGCAGGGCUGGCUGCAACGCGAGGAAUGCAGUUUAGAGGCCUGGAGCCUAGGGCACAUUCCAGGGGAGACCCCGGGGCUAAGGGCCAUGUUUACGCAACCCCGCGCCCAAUUGUGGCACCCCAUCAACUCCCUCCCAUCUCCCUCACAGCUCCCAGCUAACCCGCAGGCGUAGGCCACCAGCGGCGGGCCUAAGGGACCAUGGGGGCGGUGACGCAAAGGGCUUUCCCACCCGGGCAGCCUCCCAUGAGCGCACGGCCGCUUCCAAGGGACUCCUCUCAUCCUGGCUGGGACUCCAGUCUUCAACAGCGCUGGAGAGACUGUAUUCCAAGGACCCAACCCAGCCGGUAGCCUCGAUCCCUUCUAUGAUUGCUCCCUAAACCCGCCCCUCUUUGGGGCCCCGCCCCCGACUACCUGGAGCAGGUGGAAGUCUGUCCCUUCCCAACUCCACUUCCCCAAUCCGCUACAACCACAGCAGCAACCCUGGCAAAGAGGCAGCGAGGGGACUCCAAGCACCUCUUCAGGAGGGCCUAACUUUCAAGGGAAGCCCGAGUGGAACAAAUCACAAACUCUCAUUUGGCUUCUAUACUGUCCCCUCAACUUGAGUCUCCCCCUGUAGGCAGAGGAGCAUAGACCUUAGGACCCCGGCCGGAGACUUUUCUGGAGGCGAGCACCCGCCCGUGACGAUCUCUCUCCUAGAAGCACUGUCUGUCCACCGCCCACCUCAACCUCCGCAGCGCCCCUCACC